rnacentral:rRNA from 1 species
AUUGAACGCUGGCGGCAGGCCUAACACAUGCAAGUCGAACGAGUGGCGGACGGGUGAGGAAUGUCUGGGAAACUGCACGAUGGAGGGGGAUAACUACUGGCAACGGUAGCUAAUACCGCAUACCAUCGGAUGUGCCCAGAUGGGCUUAGGUAGUUGGUGAGGUAAAGGCUCCCCACGCCGACGCUCGCGAGCUGGUCUGAGCGGAUGACCAGCCCCAAUGGGACUUAGACACGGCCCAGACUCCUACGGGAGGCAGCAGUGGGGAAUAUUGCGCAAUGGGCGAAAGCCUGAUGCAGCCAUGCCGCGUGGAUGAAGAAGGCCUUAGGGUUGUAAAGUACUUUCAGCGGGGAGGCGUUACCCGCAGAAGAAGCACCGGCUAACUCCGUGCCAGCCGCCGCGGUAAUUC